rnacentral:rRNA from 1 species
AGUGAACGCUGGCGGUAGGCCUAACACAUGCAGGUCGAACGGCAGCACAGUAAGAGCUUGCUCUUACGGGUGGCGAGUGGCGGACGGGUGAGGAAUACAUCGGAAUCUACUUUUUCGUGGGGGAUAACGUAGGGAAACUUACGCUAAUACCGCAUACGACCUACGGGUGAAAGCAGGGGAUCUUCGGACCUUGCGCGAUCGAAUGAGCCGAUGUCGGAUUAGCUAGUUGGCGGGGUAAAGGCCCACCAAGGCGACGAUCCGUAGCUGGUCUGAGAGGAUGAUCAGCCACACUGGAACUGAGACACGGUCCAGACUCCUACGGGAGGCAGCAGUGGGGAAUAUUGGACAAUGGGCGCAAGCCUGAUCCAGCCAUACCGCGUGGGUGAAGAAGGCCUUCGGGUUGUAAAGCCCUUUUGUUGGGAAAGAAAAGCAGCAGGUUAAUACCCCGCUGUUCUGACGGUACCCAAAGAAUAAGCACCGGCUAACUUCGUG